ACUCUUUAGCUUGCUARAGAGGAAAGUGGCGCACGGGUGCGUAACGCGUAUGCAACCUACCUUAAUCAGGGGGAUAGCCCGAAGAAAUUCGGAUUAACACCGCAUAAAAUCACAGUACAGCAUUGUACAAUGAUCAAAUAUUUAUAGGAUUAAGAUGGGCAUGCGUGACAUUAGUUAGUUGGCGGGGUAACGGCCCACCAAGACCACGAUGUCUAGGGGAUCUGAGAGGAUGACCCCCCACACUGGUACUGAGACACGGACCAGACUCCUACGGGAGGCAGCAGUAAGGAAUAUUGGUCAAUGGAGGCAACUCUGAACCAGCCAUGCCGCGUGCAGGAAGACAGCCCUCUGGGUCGUAAACUGCUUUUAUUCGGGAAUAAACCUAYYUACGUGUARAUAGCUGAAUGUACCGAAGGAAUAAGGAUCGGCUAACUCCGUGCCAGCAGCCGCGGUAAUACGGAGGAUCCAAGCGUUAUCCGGAUUUAUUGGGUUUAAAGGGUGCGUAGGCGGCUUUUUAAGUCAGGGGUGAAAGACGGUGGCUCAACCAUCGCAGUGCCCUUGAUACUGAAGAGCUUGAAUGAACUAGAGGUAGGCGGAAUGUGACAAGUAGCGGUGAAAUGCAUAGAUAUGUCACAGAACACCGAUUGCGAAGGCAGCUUACUAUGGUUAAAUUGACGCUGAGGCACGAAAGCGUGGGGAUCAAACAGGAUUAGAUACCCUGGUAGUCCACGCCCUAAACGAUGAAUACUCGCUGUUAGCGAUACACAGUUAGCGGCUAAGCGAAAGCGUUAAGUAUUCCACCUGGGGAGUACGGUCGCAAGAUUGAAACUCAAAGGAAUUGACGGGGGCCC
rnacentral:rRNA from 1 species